UUGAAGAGCCAGGAUAAACAGAGAGUGGGGGGUGUGUGGAGAGGAAACUGCAGCUAAAGUAUAAAUUGGGUGUAAAUAGAGUAGUGUUACUCCUUAACACCCGUUACAGCUCCAGGCUUCCUCUGUAGUGGUGUGGUGGGGGGGGGAAAGGGGUGAUAUUUGGGGGUGAUUAAACUUCUGGCACUUACACAAUAAGCACCUUAUUCAAACUAAUGCACUUUAUGAAGGUGGUAUAUAGAUAGGUUUUUUUUUUUUGGUGGUUUUUUUUUUGUCUUUUUUUUUUUGUCUUUUUUUUUUAAAGAAGGUUUUACAUGUUAUAGGUAUGUGGUAUGGAUUCAGAAAUAUUCCCACAUAAUAUAUAAAAAUGUGUGUUUGUGUGUAUGACUAAAACUGGACAUGGAGGUAGUUGAGAUAAUGGGGGACCGUCCUGUUUGUUUAAACCGUAUCAGAAAAAGACAAAAUUCUCUUUGAAGACAAACACUGUUUUUUUUUGUUGUUUUUUUUCUUUUUCUUUAUUAAAAAAAAGUUUCUAUAAAAAGCUAUAUAAAAUAAUAAGAUUUUUGCUCAUAAAACUUGAAGAUUUGCACUUGUAUAAAAAAAAAGAGAGAGAAAAUGACAAAAAAUAGGUUAGGAUAUAUGUUAUGGAGAAUAAUAUUUUUGUGUGUGACUGAGUGAGUGGGUGUGUUCGUUUAAAGCAUACCGGUCUGCACAGAUUUAUUUUUGUUUUUUUUUACAUUGCUUACCAAGAUGUAUAAAAUGACGAGGCCAUUUUGUGAUUUUUCAAGCAACUUAGAAUUUUGUACUUCAUGAGUGAAAAGUGUGUGAGAAUGUAUGUUUGUGUCGUAUAUUUGCAGCAUGUUUGUGUAUUUGACUGAGGGGGACAGAGGGCAAUGGCACAACCCAUCCUUUUUUCUUUUUUUUUCCUUUUUUUUUUUUUUUGGUCAUUUCCUCAUCCCCAGAUGGAUAUGAAAGCUGUAGAUGCAACCAGAAAAAAAGCUUUAGCUUCUUUUAUACUUAGCAGUGCUCUGCAUGCAAGUGUUUUUUCCUUUUUUCCUCUUCUGUCCACCACCCGUAUCAGUGCCUCUAGUAGGCUUAUGGGCCAAGUCCUGAGGUUUUGUGUAUGCGUGCAUUUGAUUGUAUGUUUGUCUGUUUGUGUGUGUGUGUGCGAGAGAGAGUUUCUGUCCACACAUGUGCCUAAGAACUUAAAGGGCGAGUGGUUGGAGUUCAUUGCUGCCAUUGAGACAUUAUUUUUAGGGAGUGUGUCUCAGUAAAGAGACUCCCGUGCUUAUAAACCAAGAGCUUUGUGCAUUGUGCACACCAUUCUCUGUAGUUCUUCUAGUGUAGCUUGGGGAUAGUCCAUUGACAGGAUUGUCCACAUUUUUUUGGGGAUGUGGCUCACAUUGCCUUGUUGUCCACUCUCUUACUCCAGAGCAAGUGACUGACUGGCUUAAAUAGAUCCCAUCAAACUGUGCAAGUGCACAAAAAUGUGCACAAAAAUGUUCAUCUAAUGUUACAUGUUUGUUGUUGACUCUUUGUUAUGGCAUAUAUGUAUCUCUAAUAUACACAUAUACACACAAGUUAAAAGUAUUUGGACUACAAAUGAGCACUUGGGGCUGCUACUUUUUUAUUAUUUUUUUGAAAUGAUUUUCCUGUAGUUUUUAGUUUCAUUGCCACCAUGUGAAGUGUGUUGUCUUUUUACAAAAAAAAUAUUGAAUGUAUUCCAAAAAAGGUAUAAAAAAAAAAAAAAAAAAAUCCAACAAAAAAAAAAAAAGCAGUGAAGCCGGAAUUUUUUUUUUAAAUUCAACGCAAACAUGGAAACGUAGUCGGACGUUGGAAUGGAGCGUUUUUUCAAACGCCUGUUCAGCAAGCAGAUGGAGAAUCAAGACGACUACCGCCAGAAGACACUGCCUCUACAAUCCUGUUCAUAUAGACAUUAUGACUAUGUUGAUAAGAGAGAAAAAAAAAAAUCUAUUCCAUACUGGAGUUUUGGUUGUUUACAGAAAAACACUUGGACUUUUGUGGAUGUUUCCCUUUUUUGGAGGGUGGGUCACUUGAUUCAGAAACAUUUGGGGAGGAGCUGCUGUAGUAAUCACAUGACGGCAUGCCCCACCCCCUUGUUGUGAAAUGGGUGUGGCAUACAGAAAGUCUCCAUACUUGUGACUUUGGGGAUUGGGUGCUGAGAAGCAGUUAUUACAAAGCUGACUGUAUUUUGUUUACUGAAUUUGUUUGUUUUUGUUUACUUUUUGCCUAUUUUUUUUUUUUUCCUUCACAGUGGAUUUAAAUACUUUUUCAGAGAAAAAGUUUGUGUUUCGGGGGGGAGACAGGACAAAAACAGCACAGGCCAUUUCUUUUUGGUACCUUGAAGUGCAUGAAUGCGAUUGUUGAUGCUUUAAGAGUUUUCUUCCCCAGAGUAUCUAGAACUGGCCUCUAGAUUUUGAUUUUGUUUCAUGAAAAUACAUAGAUGGACAUGUCUGUGACAUGCUGGAAAGUACAGAAGAACAUGAGGGACAUUCAUGACCUCAGCUCUGUCCACAUUGCCUGGGGACUGUAAUUAGUCUUUCUCUUUCCUUGUGGACGAAGGGAGUAUCGCAGCAGUUGACGUCAUCCUUCUGAAGAUAAUGAGCGAACGAUCACUGCCUCGAUGCUCUCACUAUGCACUUUUCACACACUCAAAACUGUGAGGAACCUAUGGGGACAUGUGGAGGAAGACAGAGGGUGCUGUUGAGGCAUGGCUGGCCGGACACUUCAAAUCCAGCUAAAGCCCCUCCAGUGAGAACCGAAACAGGCAUGUUAUUCCCUCCUUCUGAACAUGUAAAUAAGUGAUGCUGUUUUUUUUUUUUUUUUUUUUUUUUUGUCCUGUUAACUCAGCAAUUCUUAGAACUGAACAUAAUCUUGAUCACACACCAAUGAAGUAGGCUAAUAAGACAUCAGACAUUUUGAAUGUUGAGGAAUACCUUCUACUCCAUGUUCGGCCUUUCGGAGAUUUCCUGUGGAAGCACUCGAGAUGCAGGAAAGAACAUUUAUGAACUGCUUGUUUCUGGCUGACGAACAGAGACUAUUUCAGCGGAUUGUGCAGAUUGUCUAAGGAGUAGACGAGUAUUUGAAGAGAUGAACAAAGCUUCUGUACAGCUGUGGAUUAAUUUCAGCGUGGAGUUGCCUGUGACUGCAGCAGCAGAACUGUCUGUCUGACCAGUAUCCCAGAGCUUCUGACAAGGACAGUGGCUGGAUUUUCUCUCUCAUUCCUCCUAAGCUCUUCUUUUAUUCUUCUCUCUCUCUCUCUGUGUUUCUCUCUCUGUCUCUCUCACUCUCUCUCUGUCUCUCUCUCCGCCUCUGUCUCUGAGGAAGACUACAGAUGCUACCUGCACUUAGAUGUCACCUCCUUUCCUGCAUGAUGUGAAGUGACUGAACUGAUAGGAGUGUGAUGUACCUCCAUGGCUUGCUGGCUCCCUCAGUAGGUGAUCAUCUUCAUCGGAGAGCAGGAUACUGGAAUUCCUGAACUAUGACAGUCAAUACCUGUACAAACUGUUAAAACCCUUAAUUACAUACAUGGCUAACACACACAAACAUGUUGAGGUCCGCUAAGCACACAUGCAAGCAUGGUCAUCAUCCAGUAUCAAACGCAAACUUCACUUCCUUCAGCUGCUGUCUUGAUUAAAUCAUAUUCACACACAGACUUCAUACGCACGGCUCCUGGCUGUUGUGUAAACUGUAUAUGCGAUUACUGCUUUUCUCUGUCGUGUGUGAUUUGUUUUGGGGUUUGUUUGUUUUUUUUGCCCCCUUUAGGACAUGCCUUAACUGUACAGACAAGCCUGUACUUUGGGGGAAAAAUGCUUAACAUGUUUAGUAAAUUUGAUUUUACUCCCAUGUUUAUUCCUGAGCUUUGGUUGAGGAUUAAGUGUGGAGUGUAUGUGACCUACAAAUCCCAUCAGUCCUAAAUUUAACAUUAAAAGACGUAUUGUCAGUUUAGAUAGAAUCUGGCUAAUUCUAACUAAAUAGUUUGAGACUUAUUUAUGUUGCAGAACAUGCAGCAUGAUGAAAAAUGAGGCAUUGUUUUAAAGAAGAUGUAGUUUGGACUGAUUAGUAGAUUAUGUAGUGGAAUUAACUGAAUUUACUGUCUAACUUUGCUGGCCGGUUUUGGUCAUUUUUUGACAAGGAUUUGAGCCGCAUGCAGCUUUAACACCGUGUCAGUGCUGUUAAACAGAUAUGUGCAGUGAUGACUUAUCUAACAGAAUGGUUCUGCUUUGUAAUGUCUGUGAAAAUGAUUGGAGUUCUUUAUGUGCAUGAUGCCCUUUUAUUAUGGGUGGUGAUUAAUUAAACUAGUUAGUUUAAUGAGAUUAUGAUGGGAGUGAUCAGGAUGAUGGGUUACCAUGCGUGAAUGGCUCUGUUCAGUAAAGAUCACAUAUCUUCAAUAACAAAGGUUGCAGGUACAUGUACCCAUGCCAGCUGUGGGCUUGAUCAUAAUUUGACAAAAAAACAAACAAACAAACAAAAAAAAACCUAUCCUCCAAACCAAACACUUGAGUAAUGAUUGCAGGAACAUCUGGAAUUUCUCAGAUAUUUCUCAACUCCCACAGUCUUAGUACGAAGGGAGAUCAGUAUUGAGUUGGAAUUUCAUUGUCUUCAACAUUUGCAUGUAACUUGUAGUGGAGGUGAUGCAAUGAGUCAUUUGCUAAUUCCCAUUCUACUUGUUAAGUUUGUCCUGUAGCUAAACUUUUAAAAUAUAAAAGGUGAAAUCUUACUGAAAAUAGACGAUAACGUACAGAUUAAUAAGAGUGUAAAUAGUUUGGGUUUUUGUUUGGAAAAUAUGAGUACUUAAUAAAUGAUUAUCAUUAAGGAA